rnacentral:rRNA from 1 species
UACGUAGGGGGCAAGCGUUGUCCGGAAUCAUUGGGCGUAAAGCGCGCGUAGGCGGCCCGGUCAGUCCGUUGUGAAAGUCGAAGGCUCAACCUUCGAAUGCCGAUGGAUACUGCCGGGCUAGAAUCCGGAAGAGGCGAGUGGAAUUCCUGGUGUAGCGGUGGAAUGCGCAGAUAUCAGGAGGAACACCAAUAGCGAAGGCAGCUCGCUGGGACGGUAUUGACGCUGAGGCGCGAAAGCGUGGGGAGCGAACAGG